CCUACGGGUGGCAGCAGUGGGGAAUAUUGGACAAUGGGGGAAACCCUGAUCCAGCGACGCCGCGUGAGUGAAGAAGUAUUUCGGUACGUAAAGCUCUAUCAGCAGGAAAGAAAAUGAUGGUACCUGACUAAGAAGCCUCGGCGAACUACGUGCCAGCAGCCGCGGCAAUACUGAGGCGGCAAGCGUCAUCCGGAAUUACUGGGUGUAAUGGGAGCGUAGACGGCAGCUCAAGUCUGGAGUGAAAGGCCGGGGCCCAACCCCGGGACUGCUCUGGAAACUGUGCAGCUGGAGUGCAGGAGAGGUAAGCGGAAUUCCUGGUGUAGCGGUGAAAUGCGUAGAUAUCAGGAGGAACACCAGCGGCGAAGGCGGCUUACUGGACUGUAACUGACGUUGAGGCUCGAAGGCGUGGGGAGCAAACAGGAUUAGAGACCCGAGUAGUC
rnacentral:rRNA from 1 species